GUGAGAGGGAACUGUGGGCAGGGGGUGACUACGCAGUAGUUAAAACACAGCUGCUGCAUCCGCGAUCCUCUGGGAUAGGGCCUGGUCAUUUGUUUUUCUACCAUUAGGCUGAUGUUGAUGCUUCUAGUUCCCAGGCCACACUCUGAGAACCGCUGCUGGCUGAGAGUCAUAUCCCAAAGCCACAUUGCCAAGCCAGGAAAGAGAAUGUGCUAUGGAAGAGCUUCCGCGUGGAUUUCCUGUCUGCAGGUCUCCUGGAAGACCACUGCCUUUGUGAAGAGCCACACGCAGGUCCUCUGAGUGUGGAAGGGAAGCGAAGGAGGCCUCUUCUAACAUGGGAAGUGACCGCCAGGGAGAAGGUAAUUCACAUGACUGACAAGAAGAAAUGAAAUGUUCCUCACACACCUCUCUGUGUUUGGAUGUGCAGUGGCAGCAAAGGGUUUAAUGGCUUCUUCAAGCAAAAGGAGCCUGAGCUCCCAAAUAGAUCAGCAAUCUCCUAGGAUCAAAGGAAAAGCUGCUAGUCAACAGAGACUGCACAGAUGCAAGCUGCAACAGUGCCACCUCGUGGCAGCAUAGAGUAAAAGCAUUCAUGUGUCCGACCCUGCCCCUUCGCUAAGAGUCUAGGCCUGGCCAUUUAGUUCUUGAUUCUCCUGCCUCAGUUUGCCCCAUCUUGGCUUGUCGUGGACUUCUGAUAACCAGCCAGAUGGUUCUACAAAAGAUACUUGAUGGCAUCACAGCUGAUUACUGAAGAAACUAUUUAAUCUGAAGGGGUGACAAUAACUCGGUUGAGUCAGGGAAGGUUUGGGC
rnacentral:lncRNA from 1 species